rnacentral:tRNA from 1 species
GGCUCUGUAGUUUAAAUUGUAAAAAUGUUAAGUUGCAAACUUAAAGUUAUAAUGUUUAUUGGAGCUU